rnacentral:rRNA from 1 species
UCAAAAAAUGAUCUCAGUUCGGACUGUAGGCUGCAACUCGCCUACACGAAGUUGGAAUUGCUAGUAAUCGUGGAUCAGCAUGCCACGGUGAAUACGUUCCCGGGUCUUGUACACACCGCCCGUCACACCAUGGGAGCUGGUAACACCCGAAGUCAGUAGUCUAACCGCAAGGAGGACGCUGCCGAAGGUGGGAUUAGCGACUGGGGUGAAGUCGUAACAAGGUACC